rnacentral:lncRNA from 10 species
CGAUCUCUUGACCUCAUGAUCCACCCACAUCAGACUCCCAAAGUGCUAGGAUUACAGGCGUGAGCCGCUGCACCUGGCAUUUCUUUUUUUUUAAAAAAAGAGACAAGGUCUUGCUUGCCCAGGCUGAUCUAGAACUCCUGGGCUCAAGCAGUCCUCUCACCUCAGCAUCCCAAAGUGCUGGAAUUGUUGGCCUUUAUUCCCUAUACUUCCUAUUUUGAGCCACUAAGCAGUAACCAUUCAACUAAGAUAUCUUUGAAAAUGACUGCUACCUUAUAUCCCUUCUCACCUUAGGCCUCUCUUCUGUGGAAACUCUGAAGCCGACCAGUUGGGCAAAAUCUUUGACCUGAUUGGGCUGCCUCCAGAGGAUGACUGGCCUCGAGAUGUAUCCCUGCCCCGUGGAGCCUUUCCCCCCAGAGGGCCCCGCCCAGUGCAGUCGGUGGUACCUGAGAUGGAGGAGUCGGGAGCACAGCUGCUGCUGGAAAUGCUGACUUUUAACCCACACAAGCGAAUCUCUGCCUUUCGAGCUCUGCAGCACUCUUAUCUACAUAAGGAUGAAGGUAAUCCGGAGUGAGCAAUGGAGUGGCUGCCAUGGAAGGAAGAAAAGCUGCCAUUUCCCUUCUGGACACUGAGAGGGCAAUCUUUGCCUUUAUCUCUGAGGCUAUGGAGGGUCCUCCUCCAUCUUUCU